UACAGAGGGGGCAAGCGUUGUUCGGAAUUACUGGGCGUAAAGGGCGCGUAGGCGGCCUGUUAAGUCAGACGUGAAAUCCCUCGGCUCAACCGGGGAACUGCGUCUGAUACUGGCGGGCUUGAAUUCGGGAGAGGGAUGUGGAAUUCCAGGUGUAGCGGUGAAAUGCGUAGAUAUCUGGAGGAACACCGGUGGCGAAGGCGGCAUCCUGGACCGACAUUGACGCUGAGGCGCGAAAGCCAGGGGAGCAA
rnacentral:rRNA from 1 species